UGACUAAGUCAUAUUUUUCCA
rnacentral:piRNA from 1 species